CAGUAGCCACGGUAAUACGUAGGUGGCAAGCGUUGUCCGGAAUUAUUGGGCGUAAAGGGCCCGCAGGCGGUUUCUUAAGUCUGAUGUGAAAGCCCCCGGCUCAACCGGGGAGGGUCAUUGGAAACUGGGAAACUUGAGUGCAGAAGAGGAGAGUGGAAUUCCACGUGUAGCGGUGAAAUGCGUAGAGAUGUGGAGGAACACCAGUGGCGAAGGCGACUCUCUGGUCUGUAACUGACGCUGAGGAGCGAAAGCGUGGGGAGCGAACAGGAUUAGAUACCCCAGUAGUCCCUGUCUCUUAUAC
rnacentral:rRNA from 1 species